AGGUGGGGUGGAGUUGGGGGGGGGGGGGCAUUCCAAGCAUCACUGCUGCUGCUGCUGAUUUUAUUUCCUAUUUAAAGACAGCUUUUAAGAAAAACGAAAAAAACAAAAAACAAAACAAUAAAGAAAAAAAACUGAAAAACUUACAGAAAAAAAAACAAAAAAAAUACAGACGCCAUGAGCUCUGCCUCCUCGUUGCAAACAGCAACUCAGGAAUUUUUCCAUCACCAGUCGCCUUCAAUUGAGCAUAUCAUUCAGGAACAAGGACGCUGAAAAUAAUAUGACCUCACAAACUAUCCGAUACAAUGUCUUCCACAACCUCCGUGAAGCCGUGCAUUGGUUUACCGCAGACUUCAGUCAAAAUUUGUCAUCGUUUUUUUUUAUUGUUAUUUGAACAAAGUGUGCAUUGUGCAGCUCUCUCUGGUGGCUCCUCGGGUUGUAGUGCGCGCGCGGCUUGCUGUUCAGCGGCCACGUCUGACGUUUCGCUCCACGUGCUUGGAGCUUCCUCGGCGAAUUUGAAGACUCAAAUCAAAUGGUUUCUACAUUUGGUAUUUGCGGCGCGUUCGUUCUCGGAGCACAAGGCUGUUUCACAGACUAGCAUAGUCUGCGAUUGCUUUACAGUCAGUCGGAGGUGAUAUUGCCACACGGUUUUAGCCAAUUAGGUGAUGUGCAACAAAUUUGGCAAAUAUAGACCAUGUCACCAGCGCACAUUUCCUACUUAUGAAUCGCAUUACGGGAUCUUUAACGUCCUCCUACGAAGCAAACGAUGCAUCUAUUUUCAGUCAAUACACCCGCAGUAUUAACCAGGGUGGCCGCUGGGGGUUCAGAACCGCGAACCUGCGCGACAAAUGUGGCAAACGCGCGACCGCCCGCCAGCGUCGACACCAAGAGUUUCAAUUUUUUUUCUUUUUUUUUUUUUAAAUCUGUACGUGCCCGGGAGCUUCUUCGAGUCGCCGAUGCUCCCGGUCGCUCGCGUGGAGCGAAACGUCGGGACGGUCGUGCGCCGCGUCAAAAGGAUGCGCCACACGAAGAAAGGUCGUCGGAGGGCAGCGACAAUGCCUACACACCAGGGGGGCAGGAGGGGGAACCACGCACAAGUGUGCGUUCUGCCUCGACCCUGCCACAUUCCUCCAAAGCAAGCAUUCCUGCCUAUGCAUCGGCAUCAUUGCCACUCACUUUUGUUUUUGGUGGUGUUCAUGAAAGAAGGAAAGGAAAAAAAUGCAUAUCGUAUACUCACGCUGCUCUGUGGGACAACUUUUGGCAAGCAUGGUGUAUUGGGAAAAAAGCCAGUCUGUGGCGUAUAUUUGCAAUAGUGCUUAAAGUUGUCUCGAUUUCUAUUUGUGCUGCUUAAAUAUUUUAAUCUGAUAUGUAUACCUAUAGAAAUAAAAAAAACUGUUGAAUUCCCCACAUGAAUAAGAAAUCUCGGGGGAAAUUUCCAAACUAUAACAUUUAAUAUAAAUAUAUACGUUUCUCGUACAAAAAGCAUAAAAUGUAUACAUUAAUAUAUUAAAAAAAAUCAAUUUCCCAUUGCUACUACCAAAAUUGCGAUAUCAAUCAAUAUAUCGAUGCGUAGACUGGUCCUACGGCGAUUUAUCGAAAUUUUGUAAACAUAUCAAUUCCUAAUGCAACAAAUGAACAAAACAAUUUCAAUUUGCUGCCCAUUCUACAUUAGCGGGACACUGUACCCCCCCCCACCCACCCACCUUUAUAGUAGCAGACAAAUUUGUAAGCAAAGUAAAAAAAAAUUCUUCCAAUUUUUGCAGCCAUUUUAAAGUGAAACACCAUCAGCAGUGAUAUUAGCUAAGAAGAAAAAACAUUUGAAAUGAGACGAUACGUUUCCCUUUACGAGGUUGUUGCAGUGUUUCCCCCUCCCGUUAUUCGUGAGGGAAACGUCCCAAAAAACAUUCUCGUGAAAAGCUAAUUUCGCGCACGACAUUGGCCUACGACACCCUAUCUUUCCUAAUUAUUACCCGAAGUUGACACGUAAUGAAGCUAUUACAUACGUGAAAAUUAUCUCAUCACUUUAUCUCAACUUCUUUCUCUCGAUGCAGUCGUGCGGAGUGCCGGAUGCGAUUAGCGGAUAGCCAGAAUCGCGAAGAGCGAGUUUCUCAAUAACGAGGGGAUACUGCACUGCACUUCUAUGCUCUAGCACUACUUCUACGUCUUUGUAGUAUUACUGCGAGCCAUCGUUUCUCUGCACUGCACUCUCUUCAAAUGUGUGCUGCUUCUCUUUCUUGCCAGUUAGCAGACUUUACAUGCUUGUGACGUGCGUCUCAAUACUGUUUGCGAAAAUAUCACGAAACAGGAUACCGUGCAAACGGAAAAGCGUGCCAUGCACAAGACCUUAAUGUUGCAGCAGCGGUCUGCUGCUGCUGCUGCUACGCUUGCACAAUUGUGGCAAUCGUCUUGCCUGGUUAUCGGUGCAAUAACUGUGCACAGGAGUGCUUUUAAUGGCACAGUGCGGUAUUCUGAGAAUCUUUUUUUAUUAUUUUCGCCUGCACUUUUGCACCCAUGUAAAGUCUACGUUUGUGUUAUCAUGCCAAAAUGAGAUGAGCCUCUGCGUUUUUGUUGUUUUGAAACAACGUUAACAGAACCUAGUUUCACGAGGUGGGGGGGGGGGCCUCUUCGAGCUAAAAAGUAAAAUCGUCACCUGCGUUGAUUUGAUCUAUUGCAGUUGCCUGCUUUGACAAAAAAAAAUCAGAACUUAUACGAAAAAACUACAAGCGUCUGGCUUAUUUUUGUAAUGGAGCUAACCGUCUGUUAUGGUCCGCCCCACAAACAUGGCAGACAAAAUUGAAGAACCAAACGAUGACGAAGCUGCUGCUGCUGCUGCUCGUCACUCUUGCUCUUUGCGUUCAUUUUCGACUUCUCGUUUCUUACUUUUUAGCUGAAAAGGCCCCGUAGCACAUUGGAUUGCCCCGCGACGGGCGACAUUCAGCUCUGCCCAUAUCCGUUGGAACACUUUGGCGGGAUUGCAUCACUGCCACACCGCCGGUUUACAUUCUCGGUACAAAAACCGUGAACGGGGAUGUAACCUGAAUGACCUCAUCACUAUGUUUUGAAGUACUUACUUUUUUGGAGUUUGUUUGUUACGUAUAUUUUUUUAAUCUUUUUUUUUACACACAAAUAUCGUAUUACUUCAUGUACGCUGUGUUUUGUAUUGCUGACUUAGUGAACGUGUGAUGGUAGUAACGGACACCAUCACGCAACUCACCAACCAACAUACGACAUAUCAGCAAAAGUUAACAGGCGGGGGACUGGGGGGGGGGGUGUGCAGCAACAAAUCCCUUUUCCUAUUAAGAGCAUUCUCCUAUCCCGUGGGAGGUUUGUUCACUUCAUCAUUCAAGUUAAACGAAAAAAAGAGGGGUCAAUGUUAGCCGAGAGACAAAUAAAAGGAAUACCGUUUUGAGUGUGUGAGUGAGCAAGUGAUUGUAAAAAUUGUUUUCCUGUUAUGUUUCGUUUUUAUCGUAGACUUGUUAUUUUUUCCCUGGUGAGCUCGGAGUUUGCACAGCAUAAGCACAAGCUCUGGGUCACUUUGUUUUUGCUGCUACAAAAGAACGAAACAAUUUUUUUCAAGAAAAAAAUAUUUUGGGUGGAUGCGUGCAUGUAGUGAGCUUGGACUGCUUCCAACAAAACCUCUCCUCUCUCUCCCUUCACCUCGACGACGUGCGUCUCAAAUAUCUCCCUACAGAAAAAAAACAUCAGUCGUGACGUUUACUUAGAUUCUGAUGUGCAUGGGUAAUAACAGUAAUCUUCCGUCAAAAACAACAAAAAAUAUACCUCUCCAUCAUGGACUCACCGAUCCUGCUGCUGCGAGAUAAUUUUGUACCUGUUUUUGUAUAUUUUUUUUUGCUUGCCAACGAUCGAUGAACAUCAUUGGAUCAUCAGCCACUUUUACAAUACAACAGGUUUGGUUUGUUUUCUCCUCAAAGUCCUUUCCCACUGAGAAGCGUGCAAAUAUGUAAAUGGUAGCAGACGAAUUUGUUCGGUUGUCGGAACUAACCGGGAAAUGUCUCUGGUUCGGUUACCCCCGCAUUAUGCUUUGAUACAUGUCCCUCAUCCAUAAGUACAUGGGGCCAAUUUUGGCACUGUGGUAAAAUGUUAUAUUUUCCCACUCUGUCCCAUCUUAAUCAAAUUUGAUUUUUUGCCGGUGACAUGAACAUGUUACGCUCAUGUAAAUAUGCCUUCGUCCAGCAGUGGAUUGAACAUGGCUGCUGCUAAUUAUGAACUUCCACAGACCUCGGAAAAGAAAUUUCAUAACAUGACGCAAUUCGGAUAAAUCUCGCUAAAUUGUAUACAUUUUCUUUUCUAAAGUCGAUAAACAAAAAUACGUAUUAUAUAUUUUUAGCUCUUUUGGUAAAGUCACGUUGAAGGGAAACAAUAAAUAAUAAUACACACCUGAUGACGACCGUUUGUGUUAUGGUCGAAACGUCGUGAGACUUUUUAUUGUUUUAUAUAUUUUAUUAUUUUAUUGUUUCCCUUCAACGUGACUUUACCGAAAGAGCUAAGAAUAUGAAUUACUGCAGUCACGAAAGCUUUAAAUCAAUACGUAUUAUAGAUUUUUAAAACCCAGAUUUGUACGUGCCAUUUCAAACCAUACGAGUUGAUAUUUCAUGGUUUUUCACAGUGGGAACCGACUUAUUCCGCUGCUAUACUUCAUUUGGUAAAAACGUCAUGAACAUUCGCUGGACACACGAUGCCAACAGAUCUACUGUACUGUAGCUGCCUCUGUUUUUAAAAAUAUUGAUGAGUUUUUUUUUUACAACGAUCUCUCUUCUGUCGUGACUUUGGUCAUUAUUUAUACACAACCCACUGCAUAGAUGUACAUAAUACUGUAUAUUUAUUACUACUAUUACGACAAAACUCACUGUGUUAAUUUAUACGGUUAAAUAAAUUAAAAGCAAGACAGUGCUAAUGUAUAAAGUUUUUUCUCAUACAGAAGCUGCUGUGUUGACCUUGCUUGAGCUGCUGCUGCUGGCCUUGAUCAAAAUAUUUGUUUUGUCUCCCUUUGUUAUUUUUGUUGUUGUUAAAUCGUUGAUGUGCAGCAAAAUCUUUAGUUUACGUCUCGUAUUACAUUUAAAGGCUAAAACCCGUCUCUUGUAGUUUAGUGUGAUAUUGCAGUCGAGAUACUUUGCGCUGCCCGGUGGUGUGGGAAGUCUCGUGUGUGUGGGUAGCGAUGGCAUGACCUGUUUUGUGUUUGUGCACGGGAGAUGCAAAGCUGGCUCGCCCAAGCUUUCAAGUGGAGUUUGCAAAAUGCCCUCUCACUCCAUCCACCCACCCCCGACUUCAUCAUAUCGUGUGUCUGUGUUUGUUAGUCGCGCAGGAAAUAAUCAUCGUCAAUGGCAUUAUGGGUCAACAGUUUAGUCGGCAAACGUCUUGACCGUUCAUCAAUACAUCAGUUACGAGUUACUCGGCCCCAAUCAAACGACACAGAACAGAAACAAGCCAAUCGGCAACACCGACAAAAAAGAGCAGUGUUCAUCACUUUUCCAUUUAGCAUAUAUUUAAAUAUAUGUAGAAAUAAUAAUAACGAUAAUUGUAUCACUUAGAAGACAAUAGGCAUAUGUGGGUCUGUGUUUUUAUCACUUAUGUAUGUAAGAGUUAAACAUAACAUGAUAAACAUUACAAUUACUAAUUUACUUAAAGAGGAAAUAUAAUAAAUCAUCCACUUGAAAGAAAUGCGUGUGGUGUGUAUAACCUUUUAUAUGUUGUUCGCUAUUCAAGGUUAGUUAUUUUUCUUUUAAUAAGAAUAUGGAAUCUGUGCAUAGCGUAUAUUAUUCAUGCAAAGGCCGAUGUGUUAUUAAGUCUGUGAUGUUAUUCUCAAACUACAUAUUACCCACGUAUAAUCUCUUGCCCCUGUAAUUGGCAAAUUAAAACAAACAAUAAUAAACUUUGAUGUAACGUG